rnacentral:rRNA from 1 species
UAGUAUGGGGAUCUGCCCGAUAGAGGGGGAUAACUACUGGAAGCGGUGGCUAAUACCGCAUAAUGUCUACGGACCAAAGCAGGGGCUCUUCGGACCUUGCACUAUCGGAUGAACCCAUAUGGGAUUAGCUAGUAGGUGGGGUAAAGGCUCACCUAGGCGACGAUCUCUAGCUGGUCUGAGAGGAUGAUCAGCCACACUGGGACUGAGACACGGCCCAG